rnacentral:rRNA from 1 species
UACGUAGGGUGCGAGCGUUGUCCGGAAUUAUUGGGCGUAAAGAGCUCGUAGGCGGUCUGUCGCGUCGAUCGUGAAAACUUGGGGCUUAACCCUGAGCUUGCGGUCGAUACGGGCAUGACUGGAGUUCGGCAGGGGAGACUGGAAUUUCCUGGUGUAGCGGUGAAAUGCGCAGAUAUCAGGAGGAACACCGGUGGCGAAGGCGGGUCUCUGGGCCGAUACUGACGCUGAGGAGCGAAAGCGUGGGGGAGCGAACAGG